rnacentral:rRNA from 2 species
AAAUUGAAGAGUUUGAUCAUGGCUCAGAUUGAACGCUGGCGGCAGGCCUAACACAUGCAAGUCGAGCGGCAGCGGGAAAGUAGCUUGCUACUUUUGCCGGCGAGCGGCGGACG